UGGCGGCGCGCCUAACACAUGCAAGUCGAACGGGAAAGUGGGGCAACCCAUGAGUAGAGUGGCGUACGGGUGAGUAACACGUGGAUGAUCUACCUCUUAGUGGGGAAUAACCCAGGGAAACCGGGGCUAAUACCGCAUAAGCUCGGGAGAGGAAAGCAGCAAUGCGCUGAGAGAGGAGUCCGCGGCCGAUUAGCUAGUUGGUAGGGUAAAAGCCUACCAAGGCAAAGAUCGGUAGCCGGCCUGAGAGGGCACACGGCCACACUGGCACUGAAACACGGGCCAGACUCCUACGGGAGGCAGCAGUGGGGAAUCUUGCACAAUGGGGGAAACCCUGAUGCAGCGACGCCGCGUGAGCGAUGAAGCCCUUCGGGGUGUAAAGCUCUUUCGGCAGGGAAGAUGAUGACGGUACCUGCAGAAGCAGCUGCGGCUAACUACGUGCCAGCAGCCGCGGUAAUACGUAGGCAGCAAGCGUUGUUCGGAGUUACUGGGCGUAAAGGGUGUGUAGGCGGUUGCUUAAGUUUGGUGUGAAAUCUCCCGGCUCAACUGGGAGGGUGCGCCGAAUACUGAGUGACUCGAGUGCGGGAGAGGAGAGUGGAAUUCCUGGUGUAGCGGUGAAAUGCGUAGAUAUCAGGAGGAACACCGGUGGUGUAGACGGCUCUCUGGACUGUAACUGACGCUGAGACACGAAAGCGUGGGUAGCAAACAGGAUUAGAUACCCUGGUAGUCCACGCCCUAAACGAUGCAUAUUUGGUGUGGGCAGUUCAUUCUGUCCGUGCCGGAGC
rnacentral:rRNA from 1 species